rnacentral:lncRNA from 1 species
UGUAAUGUUGAGAUGAAUGCAUGUGGUGGAAGAACGUUACCAAAAGAAAAAGGGCUUGAUAAUUAGUACUUAAGCAACGCAAUGAGGUACCAACCACUUCCCGGUGAACCUCCGCCUCCGCCUCCGCCAGAGUACGGGCAGCCGCCACCUCCACCUCCACCUCCACCCCCACCAGAGUACGCGCCACCGCCACCUCCACCAGAGUACGUGCCACCGCCGCCACCUCCACUGGAGUACGGGCGACCACCACCUCCCCCAGCGUAUGCGCCACCGCCGCCACCACCAGACUACCCUCCCCCUCGUCCUCCUCCUGGCCCUCCACCACCUGGCUAUCAGGGUUACUUUUAUCCUCCGCCGCCGCCAACCCCGACCCCACCAC